rnacentral:rRNA from 1 species
CAGUCGCCGCGGGAAUACGUAGGUGGCAAGCGUUGUCCGGAAUUAUUGGGCGUAAAGGGCUCGCAGGCGGUUUCUUAAGUCUGAUGUGAAAGCCCCCGGCUCAACCGGGGAGGGUCAUUGGAAACUGGGAAACUUGAGUGCAGAAGAGGAGAGUGGAAUUCCACGUGUAGCGGUGAAAUGCGUAGAGAUGUGGAGGAACACCAGUGGCGAAGGUGACUCUCUGGUCUGUAACUGACGCUGAGGAGCGAAAGCGUGGGGAGCGAACAGGAUUAGAUACCCCUGUAGUCCCUGUCUCUUAUAC